rnacentral:rRNA from 1 species
CCUACGGGCGGCAGCAGUGAGGAAUAUUGGUCAAUGGGCGGAAGCCUGAACCAGCCAAGUAGCGUGCAGGAUUACGGCCCUACGGGUUGUAAACUGCUUUUAUACGGGAAUAACGCGCAUGACGUGUAGGGCGUUGAAUGUACCGUAUGAAGAAGGACCGGCUAAUUCCGUGCCAGCAGCCGCGGUAAGACGGAAGGUCCGGGCGUGAUCCGGAUUUAUUGGGUUUAAAGGGAGCGUAGGCCGUAUGUCAAUCGUGCUGUGAAAGGUCCGGGCUCAACCCGGGCCUUGCAGCGCGAACUGGCGUGCUUGAGUCCGCGGAAAGCAGGCGGAAUGCGUCGUGUAGCGGUGAAAUGCUUAGAUAUGACGAAGAACCCCGAUUGCGAAGGCAGCUUGCUGCAGCGGAACUGACGCUGAUGCUCGAAAGCGCGGGUAUCGAACAGGAUUAGAUACCCCAGUAGUC